rnacentral:rRNA from 1 species
UACAGAGGUCUCAAGUGUUGUUCGGAUUCAUUGGGCGUAAAGGGUGCGUAGGCGGCGCGGUAAGUCGGGUGUGAAAUCUUGGAGCUUAACUCCGAAACUGCAUUCGAUACUGCCGUGCUUGAGGACUGGAGAGGAGACGUGGAAAUUACGGUGUAGCGGUGAAAUGCGUAGAUAUCGUAAGGAAGACCAGUGGCGAAGGCGGGUCUCUGGACAGUUCCGUGA